rnacentral:rRNA from 1 species
UAAAACCAGCACCUCAAGUGGUCAGGAUGAUUAUUGGGCCUAAAGCAUCCGUAGCCGGCUUUGUAAGUUUUCGGUUAAAUCCAUGUGCUCAACGCAUGGGCUGCCGAAAAUACUGCAUAGCUAGGGAGUGGGAGAGGUAGACGGUACUCAGUAGGUAGGGGUAAAAUCCUUUGAUCUAUUGAUGACCACCUGUGGCGAAGGCGGUCUACCAGAGCACGUUCGACGGUGAGGGAUGAAAGCUGGGGGAGCAAACCGGAUUGGAUACCCGGGUAGUCCCAGCUGUAAACGAUGCAGACUAGAUGAUGCAUUGGCAUAAUAGCCAUUGCAGUGUCUCAGGGAAGCCGUUAAGUCUGCCGCCUGGGAAGUACGUACGCAAGUAUG